rnacentral:sRNA from 2 species
GCUGACCCUACUCCCCACUUUUACUAUUGUCUAUUGUGAAAAACAGGUAUCAUCCUGUGGUCCAAAGCUCUGAAGAAGAAAUAAAGAUGAAGUGAGUUUU